UGAACGUCUAUAGUGGGAGUUCGAGAGUUUUCACCCAGUCAGGUAGUCAGGGAAACAAGUGGAUAGAGGCGAAGGUUCCCGUCUCUGCUUCAAGUGGAAGAGUUGAAGUGACAUUUGAGGGAAUCAGAGGAAGUUCUUGGCAAGGAGAUAUAGCCAUCGAUGACGUAACGAUAGAGAAAGGAAGUUGUUCCGCCCCAUCCACUUCCUCUCCCUCCACACCCCAUCCGCCCUCGGUAUCUUCGUGUGACUUUGAAAGUGGUAUGUGUGCUGGCUGGACCCAGGAUAAGUCAGAUACAUUCGACUGGACAUUGAGAUCUGGUUCCACCCCAUCGUCUAACACUGGUCCAUCUUCGGGCCACGGAGGUUCAGGGAAUUAUAUGUAUAUUGAGACUUCAUCCCCAAGAAAAGACGGAGACAUAGCAAAGCUUAAAUUUACGGGUUCUGGUGGCGGCGCGUUUUGCCUGAGGUUCUUUUAUCACAUGUAUGGAAAGUCGGUGAAAAUACUGAACGUCUAUAGUGGGAGUUCGAGAGUUUUCACCCAGUCAGGUAGUCAGGGAAACAAGUGGAUAGAGGCGAAGGUUCCCGUCUCUGCUUCAAGUGGAAGAGUUGAAGUGACAUUUGAGGGAAUCAGAGGAAGUUCUUGGCAAGGAGAUAUAGCCAUUGAUGACGUAACGAUAGAGAAAGAGAGUUGUUCCUCCCCAUCCACUUCAGCUCCCCCCACACACCCUCCGCCUUCAGCCGGCAAUUGUGGAUCCCGACCAAGUGUUCGAAUCGUUGGUGGCACAGAAGCACCCAAAAACAGCUGGCCGUGGCAAGUAAUGAUACUCACCAAAUCUAACCGUCAGUUUUGUGGAGGCUCACUAAUUGACCCAUUGUGGGUGGUAACAGCAGCGCAUUGCUUUAGUCGGUCAUCGCCCACUAGUGUUAAAAUCAGAUUGGGAGCUCAUUAUCGAGUAUCAGGCUCGGUGGGAACCGAACAGGAUAUCAACGUCGCCCAGAUCAUUUCCCACGAGAAUUAUAAAAAACCAAAGCCCUUCAGCAAUGACGUUGCUCUCCUAAAACUUGCUAAACCCGCUGUACUUAGUCAAGGGGUUGGGCUCGUCUGUUUAUCAAACCCGAGUAACAUUCUUCCCAUCAACAACAAGAAGAAACACUGCUGGAUAAGUGGAUGGGGGACACUGGCAUCCGGUGGCAGUCAACCCAACGCACUCAUGCAAGCCAGCGUCCCACUUGUAUCAAAAUUGCGUUGCUUGGAUGCCUAUCCUGGCAAGAUAGACGACUCCAUGUUAUGUGCUGGUCUGGACGAAGGCGGAGUGGAUACCUGUCAAGGCGACAGUGGUGGACCGCUUGUCUGUGAGUUCAAUGGCAGAUGGUUUUUGGAAGGAGCCAAAAGCUGGGGUUAUGGCUGCGCCCGCCCUAACAAGUUUGGAGUCUACGCUAGCAUCGCUAAUCUGAGGUCAUGGAUAAUCAACAAGGCAGGCUUUUCGCCACCCAGUCCGUCUCCCCUACCAACACUAACAGCUGCACCAUCUCCCCAAGUGACAACGCCAACAGCUCAACCCCCUCUACCACCAGCUUGUAAUGAUGAUCAUAAAUACGCUGAUAUUUGUCCCUCAAUUGCUUCAUGUGGAAAUUUCUGCAACAAAAACAAAGUUUGGUCGCAAAAAAACUGUCAAAAGUCGUGUAGAAUGUGUCAAGGGCAACUCCCGUGCGGCUUCACGUCCAUCACUCAAUCACGUGUCAUUGGAGGCCAGGAUGCGAAGCCUGGAGCUUGGCCGUGGCAGAUUGCAUUAAAGCGUCGUAACAGUUUCAUCUGUGGAGGAUCGCUCAUUUCUGCUACUUGGAUAAUUACUGCCGCUCAUUGUGUAGCAGGAAGCGGAAAUCCUGCUGAUUACAAAGUAGUUGUGGGUGAUCACAAUCAGAAUGCUAACGAAGGAACAGAGGAGACGGUUGGCGCCAAGCUAAUCAUUUCUUUCCCUGAAUACAAUCGACCUGGUAGACUUAACAAUGACAUCGCCUUGGUUGAACUCGCUGCGCCUGUGAAGCUCUCUGCCAGGGUGAACCCUGUGUGCCUGCCAUCUAGCGAUUCAGAUGUACCUACAGGAUCAAAAUGCUACAUUACUGGCUGGGGAAAGAUUAAACAUCCGGGAAGUUCUCAUCCUAUUUUACACCAAGCCAUGAUGCAGCGAAGUGUCGGCAGAGGAUUCAAGCAAGUGGAGUCUCAAUAACGUUAACUCCGCAAAUGUUGUGCGCCGGCGUGGAUAAAACCAUUCUUAGUUGCUGACAUGGUGACAGUGGAGGCCCGUUUGUGUGCUUGAAUGCGGAUGGGAAGACAUACACUUUACACGGUGCAGUAAGCUGGGGUUCUUCCAGUUGCAAUGCUAAACAACUUUUUACUGUGUUUGCCCGUGUGACACAAUACCGAGCUUGGAUCAAACAGCACACUGGGCUAGGUGGAUGAGGCGACAGUUACAUAUACUGGACAUAAACUGGAUCAAUCAGAAAAUGCAUUCCUAAAGUGUUCAUUUAAGAUUGUUUAAAGGAAAA